UAGAUCUGCAGUCUCUCCCACGGUCCCUGUCUGAAGCAGUGCAUACGCAGUGUUGAGGAGGAUGAAGAAGUUUGGAUGAAAAGCGGGGAGUCUCUUAAGAGCAAACGAAGAAGUGAUUACAGAAAUGGAAUCUUUGCAGUUAUUUUUAUGAUCAUGGAAAUGGGUUUAUGGCCAGACUGUUUCUGUAACAGUGAACAUUUUUUCCACAAAACAAUGGAAACCAUUAAUGACAUUGGUGGCCUUUCCUGUCAGAUAGAGUCAGAACCCCGAUCAAUAAGAAAGCAAUACUUCAUUGUCUGCAUCCUUCUGGGGGUUCAAGAUCCUAAGCCAAAGCAACAGAGCCUGAGAUCCCCAUGCCUAUGGUUUCCCCUGUGAAGUGUGUGAUUCUCAACAGAGAUGCCAACCGACGUCAUCACUGUGCUUUGCUGAAGAUUCUGCAAGAUGUUAAAGUAGACAAGCCAAACACUCGCACGCACGCCACACUGCCUGGUUCCCAUCAGCCCCUGUAAAUCGGCUUCCUUUAGUGAGUGAGUGCUUCAUGUGUCUAUCUGGCUCCUGAUCAAGACUCAACGAACUGAGGACUCUAUGCACUGGGUGUUGGUGUAGCGUAGGGGUGUGAAUGAAUCUCUAGAUUUGUUCUCUGUCUCACAUUGGUAUCAAGUAGAAUUCUUGAUGUCUUUUAAUCUCAUUAUAACAAAUGUUGAAAUCUGUCCAGCUUUUUAUUUUGCUCAUCUGGGCAUCUUCUGGUUAUCUCAAAGGCCUAGAAUUCUCUUCCAUUCCCAACAGAGGAAUAGCUUGCUGUUGUGCCCACUACGGUAAUAAGUAAAUGUUUUCACUGUUAACUACAUCUUCACACUUAUGGAAUCUAUCUAUCUAUCUAUCUAUCUAUCUAUCUAUCUAUCUAUCCAUCCAUCCAUCCAUCUAUCCAUGCAUCCAUCCCUCUGUCUAUAUCUAUCUAUCCAUCCAUCUAUCCAUGCAUCCAUCCCUCUAUCUCUGUCUAUCUAUCUCCCUCCCUCCCUCCAUCUGUCUGUCUGUCUGUCUGUCUCUCUCUCUCUCUCUCUCUCUCUAUCAGUCUGUCUUUCUGUCUGUUUAUAUAUUGGUCAUUGACCUCUAUAUCAGCAAAUAUGGAGCCCUAAGCAGGUUCUCUGUUUCUUUAUGUGUACCCUUAUAGCAGGGAAGCCUUCCUCUAGUUUAUCUUCUAGGUCAUCUUCCAGAGAAGAACAAGUGAGAGGAGACAGAAACAGAGAGGAUUCCCGUUGUAUAAAUGUGUGGGAGGCAUCCCAGGCACCCCACUGUAGCACUAUGUCUGUAGACACUACUGUGUGUAACCAGCAAGAAGGGAGCCAGGGCAGAGCUGAGAGUCUGUGUCCAUCAAACUUAUUUCUCCUAUCCCCUGACAAGGUGAGGAACACAGAAUACUGUUGGAACCUCAAAGUUAGCCAACCCACUUAUAGACAAAAUCUAAGCCUCUGAAAGGCUAUCUAACUCUCCAGCUCACUUCCAAAUGGCAUUAGGCUUGGAUAGGAAUCAUAAGUAACUCUUUAUCAUAUCAACUGCUGAGACUUUAAGAUUUUUGUUAAAGCCACUAAUGUUGCCUACUCUGACUUAAAAGGAAAGCUGAUGAACUUUCCGUAUUUCCUAAAUACGGGUACUUCAAUAUGCUCAGUUCGUCUGCAGCCAACGUCCUGGGUAGUCCUAACUAAUUGGGAUUAGGAUUUUGAAGCAGAACUUGAUAGACAAACAGUGUUCAUUAAUUCUCUGGGUUCAAGGGCCAGGAAAUAUAUUUUAAAUCAGACAAAUGUGUAAUUUGUGACAAAAUAAAAUAUAAAACUUCUUCCUCCUGACUUCCGCCAACAUUCCAUUCCUAUGAGAAAAAGAAUGAAAUAAAAAAGCCCUAGCAUACCGUCUUUGAAAUCUUGAACCCACACUGUUACUUCAGAGUGACGGAGAACAAGGAAAGGGAGGG